UGGGGAAUUUUGGACAAUGGGCGAAAGCCUGAUCCAGCAAUGCCGCGUGUGUGAAGAAGGCCUUCGGGUUGUAAAGCACUUUUGUCCGGAAAGAAAUGGCUCUGGUUAAUACCUGGGGUCGAUGACGGUACCGGAAGAAUAAGGACCGGCUAACUACGUGCCAGCAGCCGCGGUAAUACGUAGGGUCCAAGCGUUAAUCGGAAUUACUGGGCGUAAAGCGUGCGCAGGCGGUUGUGCAAGACCGAUGUGAAAUCCCCGAGCUUAACUUGGGAAUUGCAUUGGUGACUGCACGGCUAGAGUGUGUCAGAGGGGGGUAGAAUUCCACGUGUAGCAGUGAAAUGCGUAGAGAUGUGGAGGAAUACCGAUGGCGAAGGCAGCCCCCUGGGAUAACACUGACGCUCAUGCACGAAAGCGUGGGGAGCAAACAGGAUUAGAUACCCUGGUAGUCCACGCCCUAAACGAUGUCAACUAGUUGUUGGGGAUUCAUUUCCUUAGUAACGUAGCUAACGCGUGAAGUUGGACCGCCUGGGGAGUACGGUCGCAAGAUU
rnacentral:rRNA from 1 species